GGGGAUGUGGCUCAGUGGUAGAGCUCUUACCUAGCCUGUGUGAGGCAUGGGUUUGAUCCCCAGCACCACA
rnacentral:tRNA from 1 species